GGCAACACAGAACUAGAAAACACCCUGAGCCGUUUGAAGGAGUUUGCUAUGUGAGCGCAGGAAAUGAACCUUUUUUCUGCGAGAGAGCCAAAGGUGUUGGGAGAUGGUCUUUGAUUCCGAAGCCCGUUGUUUGCGGGAGAGGGUGGAAAAAGUUCGGUCAUCACUGUUAUGGUUUGUUUAAGAACCACCUACGUUUCACAGCAGCAGAAGCAUUUUGCCACAAGCACAAAGCUCACCUAGCAAGUAUAAACAGUCUAUGGGAAUU